AAUCUGUGGAAUGGAAGGGGUGGGCACACGGUCACAAUGACAAAAUGACAAAACAAUCGCAACAGCCGGGGAGCCCCUCGUGCGCGGGCCUCUCCACCAGGACUGCACCUGCGGGACGUCCCUGUCAGGCCUGGCUGGUAGUUCCAGUUCUCAUUCCACAGAGGAAACCGAAUCUGAGAGAGGGCCCUGGGGUCCAGCCUCAACUGCAGACUUCAGGGAGAGAUCCUGUAGCCACCCUAGUCGUCCCCAGGAGCAAGGGGGACAGCAGGUUCGCUUUAAGCCAGGCCCUGGCUUUUCGUCUGGCCAUGCCUCUGGGCACCGUCAACCCAGCAGCUUUCCCACCAGAGGCCUGACAGCAGUUGGGAAGCACCCCUAGGCCUGCUGAAGUGGGGGGCCGCCUGGAGAAUGGAGCAGCUGGGGCCUGGGGAUCCUCACACACACCGGAGGGUGGCUGCAAUGAGUCAGCCUGCCCCGGACAUCAGGCAGGUGCUGGGGGGUGGAGAUGCCACUGACUUUGAAGGUAGCCACCGUCAGCACACAGCUGAGACUUUGCAGAAAACCACAUUCCCACCCGCUUGUCCCUGGAUUUCCCAGCUUCCCUUGCACCUAGAAUGUAACCCAGUUCUGGCCAAUGUGUGAAAGGAUUCAAGGAAGUUUUUUUCUUUCUGAAUUAAAAGGCAAGGAUUUCAAGGAAAAUAUACUUCACUAUACCCUUCUUCUCCUUGCCUGGAAUGUGGACGUGAUGACUCAAGACGGGGCAGCCAUAUUAGCACUGUGUGGACAAAAGCCAGACACUAAGACUGGGAGAGCAGGAAGCUGGAGUUGCCUGGAUCCUCCUCUAGGGACCUGUGCCUGGUGGCAAGUCCUUGCCAUGUCUCCAGCAUGAGGGACAGUGUGAGGUCCCCAGUGCUCUUUUGGAGGAGGAUGUUCCUUCAUCCUAAGACCAUGUCCUUCAUAUUGUGGGAAUUUCAGAAUGUAACUUACUUCAUGAAAUGAUCAUCCAUGAUGGGAUUUAACAUUUUUUAUUCUGGUUUUGUUCCCAUCCUUCCUUUGCAAAAUAAAAAAUUGGCAUCCUUGUUA